AACCGAGUCCCUUUUCUUCGUCUCCACAGAGAAGUGGCGGAAAAGGAGGUCGGCAAUGGCGUCGCCGGCUGUGAAGGCCGUGCUGGGCGAGCUCAGGGUCUUCGACCUGGACGUGGCGGAGAAACGUCAGCCGCUGAGCAAUAGCGGAGGCGAUAAACAGGGACUGAACUCUGGAAUAUAAUUAAGACGGAAUGCAAAUAAAAUACAAUAUCUAAGAAGUAAAAGAAGCAAUAAAAAUACAACUGGAUAUUGCACACCUGGCACAGCAUUAUGACAAUGGCUACAACAGACAGAAAAAUCAUUUAAGUGGUCCAUCAAGACCAUCAGCAAUUUUGAAGUGGUCUGUGGGGGGGGAUUAAUUGGGGAACAGCCAGGUACCCCUGGGAACUCUGAAACUGGGUAGGAGAGAGGCUUCCCUUGUUGUUUUUGGAAUCUGGUAUUGAGGGAUAUCCUGCUCCUGUAUAUGGAAGCUCCACUGAGCCAACACGUUAGACUUUCUGUGGUGAGUUUGUAUCCAGGAUGGGGAAUUAUGGCCCUCUAGAUGUUGGUGGACUACAGCUCCCAUUAUCCUAGACCGUUGGCCACAGUGGCUGGGGCUGAUGGGAUUUGGAGUCCAGCAGCAUUUGGAGGGCUGCGGGUUCCCUAUUCCUGGUUUAUAAGAACACAGGAGGUGCCCAAGGGACCGUGUAGUCCAGUAUUAUCAAAAGGCCAUCCAGAUUCGUCUGAAAAGUACAUGAAGAGGGCAGGGACAACCUUUCCCUCUUUGUCCUUGUGAUCUGGUAUUCCGAGGUAGAUUGUCUGAAGAUGUAGGUUCCAUUUAGCUGAUAGCCACUGAUGUUAUUUUUGUUGUAAUAUUUUAAGACGUGUUAAUAGAAUACACUUAGCUUAAAGUGUUUAGAUUUUUCUUUUGUUAAAAAAUGAUUCUUUUAAAUUUUAGAUUUGUCUAGUACUGUAUCCAUUCCAGCUGACCAUUUUGGGAUUGUGUCCAUUAUAUGUGUUUAUUUUUAAGACAAUUUCUAAAACUGGAAAGUUUUCUGCAGAAAAACGUGACAGUGGAAAUGUUCCAUUUUCCAUCUCUGAGGUGGAUUAGGAUAGGGUAAGGCUAUCGCUGUAAGAAGCAGGACUGUAGUUGUCUGGGGUCUCGGGGGGGGGGUCUUAGACCCCUUGCUUUUUUGGGAGCAAGGUCCCUAUGUCUCCAGUGUCCUAUGAGCCAAUCAACAUGAAAGGGAAGUAUGUUAGCCACUGACAAGACUCUUCUAACAUGCUUCCUUGUCCUUUCCUGCUGAUUAGAGCCCUCAAAGUGAAAGGAGGUGAGUCAGCCACUGAGAAGAUUCUUCUCAGCAGCUAACAGACUCCCCUGACAUGCUGAUUGGGACGGUCUGUUGUUGUGGGAGAAGCCAUAUGUGAGAAGGACUGAAGAGUGUGGAGAUGAUUACGGAAAACAAGCGAGUGAGGGAGUGUGGCAUGACUAUCAUGAAGGGACCCUGCGCUUCUGAAUCUGCCACUACACUACUGGUAAUAAGGUCCUUGGGGAAUUGGUGAACCCCAUUUCUUCCACUGAUUUAACAACUUCUGUCUCUUGUAGUGGUGGAACUUUGCACGUUGUACAGGUUGGAAGAGAGUGACCUUGCGGAAAGAAUAAUAGUUUUUGCUCCGACGAAGCAAUCUGUUCAUCUCACACUCGAUUCUCUGAACGUCUUCGAACAUGAAGAAGCUGAGAGCAACCCUCAGUGCCGGUGUCUUCAGAUGAAACAUCUCAUAAUCUCAGAGAUACAGUGUCUGACAAAGUACCCUCUGCUGCUAGAGAACAUCAUCAAGCACAACGAUGGUCUGUUAUGUUGUUGUUAUUAAUUAUAUUUAGAUUUAUUAUUUAUUACAUGUACGUGUGUGUCCCAGGAGAGCUCUGUCUCUAUUAUUUAAGAGUCAUGUUUGGUGGUGCCUCCCCUCCACCCCCGGAUGUGGAAUGCUCUCCCCAGGGAGGCAUGCCUUCUCUAUCCAUCUUCAGGUGUCAGACAAAGACCUUCCUUUUCUCUCAGGCCUUUGGCCCUUGAUAAGUGUUUUUAGCUCUUUUUGCUUGGGUUUUUAAUACUGUGUGUUUUAAAAUCUGUUCUAUGAGUUGUAAUUCACCUAGAGACUGCUGGUGUGAGGCGACUAAUGAAAAUCAUCAACAUCUGUUAGUGAAUUAUGUAAACUUUCUGCUGUUGUGAGCCACUUUUGAGCAUGGCUUACUAUACAAAGUCAGCACACAAAUUUAUAUGUAUACACCCACACAUCUAUAUCUCCCCCCCCCGGCAUUAGCACACUGUGGGCCUUUGUUUGUGUCAUUCAGAAACCAACGUCUGUAUUAACAAAUAAGGAUUAUUUUGGAUUACAUAUUGCUGCUGUUACUGCUCAUCUGUCUUUCAGAUGCCAAUUUUUUAAAAGAAAUUUUCCUUUCUAUUUUGUGUUGGGAUCUGCUUUGGUGCCACACCUGUGUUUCAAAGCAGCCUGCAAGAUGCUUGUAAAUAAAAAUAAACUUUGCCAGCAGCUCCCAAGACCCCCACCAUCCCCCUCACUCUGCGAUUUUGCUUAAAUUAUUUUGGAGCACAAGAAGCUGUGUUAGGCCCGGGACCAGUGUCGUGAGAUCCUCCGAUACGUGAACGAAGCGGUAAAGCUGGCAGAAAACCAGCAGCGCCUGGAUGCCACCUCUCUGGAGCGGACCAGCAAACUGCUGGCAGCGGAGUUCAGGAACCUUGACCUCCGAAGCCAGCACAUGAUCCACGAGGGGCCCCUGAGUUGGCGCAUCAGCAAAGAUAAGACUGUGGAUCUGCACGUGCUCCUACUUGAAGAUCUCCUGGUGCUUCUGCAACGGCAGGAUGAAAAGCUGGUUCUGAAGUGCUGGGUUCCUCAGACACCAAGCAGACAUUCAGCCCGGUCCUCAAGCUCAACGUGGUCCUCAUCUGCUCCGUAGCCAUAGCAGAAGAUGAAGAAGUCUGCGGUGAUGAGUCAGGAAGAGCACACCGGCUGCUGAGGGGGAAGGGGAGGGUGGGGAGUUUGUUUGCUAAACAGUAUCUUUUUUAAUUGCUCUUUUCAAUUCACUAAUGAAUGUGCAACAUACCUGUCAUGAAUCCCUACCGUCAAGGCACAGGGAUCAUGCGUCAGACCCAAACCCCACCCUUAGGAAAUUUGGGACUGGAACCAAAAAUACCACUUCACCCUUGCCAAGGCUGUGUACGCUCACAACAACCCUACAAGGUAGAAGGUAGGCUGCCACCACCCCUGUUACUGGUCCACUCAGAGCCAGGGGAUCUCUGAGUCCAGGAAAUAGGUAAAACCAAGAUCCUAUAAGGCAAGAGCCACAGUUACACUCCUUGCCAGGAACCUCUGGUUUACACCUCAAAAUAGAAAUAAGCUUUAAACUUCUUUUUCCCUCUUUGGUAGUUACGUGACUGAGAAUGGCCAAUGAAUCCAGAACCACCCCUUCUCUCAAUGAACACACCAGGUUAAAUAGAAGUAGCUUUAUUAAAAUAUAUAAGUGCACAUAAACAUAUAGCAGCAAGUAAUCCUUAAGACCAUACACCCAACAGGGGUUUAGGUACAAAUAAGAGGAUUCAAAGACACAACAAGAAAAUAAUAGCCUUUCUAGUCUAAUACUCACACAUGAGGUAGAUGGUUGCAAAGGCUUCUCUCCUAAGAGAGGUUGGCAUCAGAACAAGAAGAAUGGAACCCUGCGUAGUUGCCUCCCAUGGGCAACUCUAGGGAACCAGGAACCCUUUAGGUCAACUUCAGGGAACAAAGGCUAGAGGUUUUUAGUCCUAUACUUAAGGAGAAGGAUCCCAACGGUUCAAGAUUAAUUGACCAAUCAGGAAUUGGCUGAUGUAACCUUCUUUUGGAUGUUUCUCACCUUUUCGCGCCUUCUCAGCCCCCCUCCCAACUGUAUGUUCAAACUGCACAGGCCAGGAUGACCUUGAGUGCCAGGCACUGGCUAAUCAGCACAGAUAACCAGGUGCAGCUUGUUGAGGCUUCUUCUAACCGUCUCCAGCUGGAAAGUGAAACUCGGAAUAAUGCUUUGUCAGAGGCCUGUCUUUCCUAACUGUAAAAAUCUCCCAGAACCCCUUGCUUGAGCCAAGAUGUUACUUAUAGAAUUUUUAAUAACUCAUGAACAUAUAUAAGUUCAUGACAAUACCUAGGAUAGAUCCACACCAUUCAACAUACAUUUGAAGCACAUGAAUCCCACCACAGAAUCAUGGGAACUGUAGUUUGUUAAGGGUAGUGGGAACUACCUCUGUGUUGGAAUAGUUUUUUAAUACGUUUUUAAACCUUUUUAAAAAGAUAUUUUCAAAGCAUUUUAAAAAAUGUUUUUAAAUAUGUUUUGUUUUAAAGUCUGUCUUUAUGGUGUUUUAAAGGGUUUUUAGGGUUUUUGUUUGCCACCCUGGGCUUCUCCUGAGAUGAAGGGCGGGAUAUGAAUCAA